rnacentral:misc_RNA from 1 species
AAGUCGUAACAAGGUUUCCGUAGGUGAACCUGCGGAAGGAUCAUUAAUACGCUUUUGUUUGUAACAAAACAAAACGUUUUAAACUCCAAAAGAAAUAGUGGAAAUAUAACUUCCGGAUGCGAAUGUUUGGGAACUGAGUAAAAUCGGUUCUUUGAAAAAGGGACUUCAAGCAAUUGACACUUCAGAGUAGAGCAGUGAGGUGAAAUUCUCUUUAUUGAGAGUUUGGUGCUGAAAAACAUUUGUAUCCGGUUAUCAUUCUGUUCUACAAAUUCUAUCAAACAAUAAACCCCAUGUACAACAACUCGAACUAAACAUUUUUUUGUUGUUUUCUUGCACUUGUGUGAGAAGAUACAACAAAGAAAAAAACCUGAACUUAAGAACAACUCUUAACAACGGAUAUCUUGGUUCUC